ensembl:ncRNA K10D6.7 ncRNA
GGCGCAGUAGUGGUCGCGCAUUGUCCAGGAAGUGAAAGUGGAAGAGGAGAAGACGAUGCAUUGUAGAAGACGUACAGAGGGAAAGACAGUGGCGGCGGUCUCUCUAUGUAUGCGAAUUUGAAUAAUAUCUCC